rnacentral:rRNA from 1 species
CGGAUGACUCUCGGCAACGGAUAUCUCGGCCCUCGCAUCGAUGAAGAACGUAGCGAAAUGCGAUACGUGGUGUGAAUUGCAGAAUCCCGCGAACCAUUGAGUCUUUGAACGCAAGUUGCGCCCGAGGCCUUCUGGUCGAGGGCACGCCUGCCUGGGCGUCACGC